rnacentral:rRNA from 1 species
UACGUAGGCAGCAAGCGUUGUUCGGAGUUACUGGGCGUAAAGGGUGUGUAGGCGGUUUUCUAAGUCUGGUGUGAAAUCUCCCGCUCAACUGGGAGGUGCGCCGAAAACUGGAAGGUUAGAGUAGUCGGAUGGGAGGAGUGGAGUACUCGGUGUAAGCGGUGAAAUGCGCAGAGUAUCAGGAGGAACACCGGUGGCGAAGGCGGGUCUCUGGGCCGAUACUGACGCUGAGGAGCGAAAGCGUGGGGAGCGAACAGG